UACGUAGGGUGCGAGCGUUGUCCGGAAUUAUUGGGCGUAAAGAGCUCGUAGGCGGUGUGUCACGUCGUUCGUGAAAACCUGCAGCUUAACUGUGGGCGUGCGGUCGAUACGGGCAUCACUGGAGUUCGGCAGGGGAGACUGGAAUUCCUGGUGUAGCGGUGAAAUGCGUAGAUAUCCGGAGGAACACCGGUGGCGAAGGCGGCUUCCUGGACCGACACUGACGCUGAGGCGCGAAAGCUAGGGGAGCAAACGGG
rnacentral:rRNA from 1 species